AGAAAAUUUGUUUUUAGUAGUUUGAGCGAAGUUUGGUGGUUUCCUAGAGAGGAUUUAGUACUGAGAAGGAAAGUUAUAUUAUUUAUUUUGAAUAUUAGGCUUGUUAGUACCUUUUGUAUUAGGGUUGAUUUAUGUGGUUUUGCUUUUGUUAUUUCUCGAUGAGUAUCGGGCUAUUUUUCCUUGGUUUAUUCUCGUUGUAUAGAGUUGUAUAGGGGGUUAUAGGUAUGAAAUAUUAUUCAAGUUGCUUUUUAUCUAGUUCUUUAAGAAAUUUAAUAGUUGGUAGUGUUAUUAUGACGAUAAGCAGGGAUUAGCUUGUUUAUUUUUUAUAUUGGGUUGUGGUUGAAGUUUGUUUGUUAAGUUGAUAGUGCUUGUUUUAAUGGAGUUAUUAUUGAGCAGGUUAUCUUUAUUAUUUUUUGGUUUUGUUUUUGUAUUGGGGUUGGUUUGUUAAUUUUUAGUGGUCUGUAAUAAUGAUUGUAUUAGUAAUAAUUUUUAUUAGUUUACUUUUAUUUUGUUCUGAUUGAUAUUUUAGGUAGGUGUAAUUUUAAAUUAGAAUUAAUGAAUUAGGCAAUACAAACUUCUGACUGUUUAGCAAAGACAUUGUUUUUUGUUGUGGUAAAAAAUAAGUUCUGUCCACUGCUAUUAGGUGAAGGGCUGCAGUAUUUUGACUGUAUGAAGGUAGCAUAAUCAUUAGCUUCUUAAUUAGAAGCUGGUAUGAAGGUGAAACAGGGGUUUGCUGUAUUUUUUCUAUUUGUUGAAUUUUAUUUUCAUGUGAAAAAUCAUGAUUGGGUUAAUGGGACAAGAAGACCCUAAUAAGUUUUAUUCUUUUUCUUAAUGCGUGUAUAGUUUUUGAUUUAUGUAAUUUAUUUGGGGGAGUUUGGCUGGGGCGGCAGUUUAUUUAACAUAGAUUAAUUUUUAACUUUGUAUGGCGGUAUGUUGGACCUAGUUUGUUUAUAUCAGUGUAAAAUUACUGUAGGGAUAACAGCGUGAUUUUUUUUGAGAGUUCUAAUUGACAAUAAAGUUUGCGACCUCGAUGUUGGAUUAAGAAGAGC
rnacentral:rRNA from 1 species